GUCUCUUUAAUUAGCUUUAAGAUUGGCCUCUGAAUAUUUUGUGAAAUAUAUGCUACUACUUAAGUAGGAGUAGCAAAACACAGAGUAACCGAGAUCCUUGAUUUAAUUUACAUAAAAUGAUUCAUCCCUUUAGAAUACCAUUCUCGGCUUAUCCAUUUCAUUUCCCUCCAGGGGAAGCGGGAGCUUCCGAUCGGUCGCCGGCGAGUUUGUUCUCGUAGUAGUGGUAGACGGCAGCGCCGGAAAGAACCGCCAAGGUCAAUGCCUGAGCAUGCAUCCUAGCAUGGAUAAGACGGAGACUUGGCUUGAGGGGAGUUCUUGAUCGGGUAUAAGCCAGCGAUGCUCCGAUCCCAGAUGCCCACAGAGCUCCAACGGUGGUGAGUUUGUGAUCUGAAACCCAGGCUUGAAUAGCUUCCAUUGUUGUUGUUGUUGUUUACUAGAAGAAAAAAUUAGGUGAAGAUUUGAAGUGAGGAGGGAAGC
rnacentral:misc_RNA from 1 species